rnacentral:rRNA from 1 species
UGGGGAAUUUUGGACAAUGGGCGAAAGCCUGAUCCAGCCAUGCCGCGUGAGUGAAGAAGGCCUUCGGGUUGUAAAGCUCUUUUAGUCGGAAAGAAAGAGUUGCAAUGAAUAAUUGUGAUUUAUGACGGUAUCGACAGAAAAAGCACCGGCUAACUACGUGCCAGCAGCCGCGGUAAUACGUAGGGUGCGAGCGCUAAUCGGAAUUACUGGGCGUAAAGGGUGCGCAGGUGGUCUUGCAAGUCAGAUGUGAAAGCCCCGGGCUUAACCUGGGAAUUGCGUUUGAAACUACAAGACUAGAGUGCAGCAGAGGGGAGUGGAAUUCCAUGUGUAGCAGUGAAAUGCGUAGAGAUGUGGAAGAACACCGAUGGCGAAGGCAGCUCCCUGGGUUGACACUGACGCUCAUGCACGAAAGCGUGGGGAGCAAACA